rnacentral:rRNA from 1 species
UGGGGAAUUUUGCACAAUGGGGGAAAUCCUGAUGCAGCGACGCCGCGUGAUUUAGAAGGCCCUCGGGUUGUAAAAAUCUUUUUUACGGGAUGAAAAUGACAGUAUCGUAAGAAUAAGGUCCGGCUAAAUACGUGCCAGCAGCCGCGGUAAUACGGAUGGACCGAGCGUUGUCCGGAAUCAUUGGGCGUAAAGGGUAUGUAGGCGGCCUAGUAAGUUAGAAGUGAAAUAAUAUAGCUCAACUAUAUAAAGCUUUUAAAACUGCUAGGCUUGAGGGGUGGAAGGGAGGGUGGAAUUCCUCGUGUAGCGGUGAAAUGAGCAGAUGUUAGGAAGAAUACCGGUAGCGAAGGCGACUUUCUGGUCAUCAUCUGACGCUGAGGUACGAAAGCGUGGGUAGCAGACAGG